GGCAAGGUGGCCGAGCGGUCCAAGGCGCCACGUUAAGGUGUUAACCCUUGAUUUAAAUCCGUGGUCUCGAAAGGGGCGUGAGUUCGAAUCUCACCCUUGUUA
rnacentral:tRNA from 1 species